rnacentral:rRNA from 1 species
CCAACACUGGGACUGAGAACUGCCCAGACUCCUACGGGAGGCUGCAGUCGAGAAUCAUUCGCAAUGGGCGAAAGCCUGACGAUGCGACGCCGUGUGAGCGAUGAAGGCCUUAGGGUCGUAAAGCUCUUUCGCUUGGGAACAAGAAGAUACCACUAAUAAUGGUUGAAUUUGAGGGUACUAAGUAAAGAAGC